UACGAAGGGGGCGAGCGUUGUUCGGAAUUACUGGGCGUAAAGGGCGCGUAGGCGGCAGGCCAAGUCGGGAGUGAAAGCCCGGGGCUCAACCCCGGAAUGUCUUUCGAAACUGGCCAGCUGGAGUGCGGAAGAGGCAACUGGAAUUCCCAGUGUAGCGGUGAAAUGCGUAGAUAUUGGGAAGAACACCUGAGGCGAAGGCGGGUUGCUGGGCCGACACUGACGCUGAGGCGCGAAAGCCAGGGGAGCAAACGGG
rnacentral:rRNA from 1 species